GACGAACGCUGGCGGCGUGCCUAACACAUGCAAGUCGAGCGGAGCACUUCGGUGCUUAGUGGCGAACGGGUGAGUAACGCGUGAGAAACCUGCCUCUCAGUGGGGGACAACAGUUGGAAACGACUGCUAAUACCGCAUAAUGUAUCCGGAAGGCAUCUUCUAGAUACCAAAGCUUUAUGUGCUGAGAGAUGGUCUCGCGUCUGAUUAGCUAGUUGGCGGGGUAACGGCCCACCAAGGCGACGAUCAGUAGCCGGUCUGAGAGGAUGAACGGCCACAUUGGGACUGAGAUACGGCCCAGACUCCUACGGGAGGCAGCAGUGGGGAAUAUUGGGCAAUGGGGGAAACCCUGACCCAGCAACGCCGCGUGAAGGAAGAAGGCCCUCGGGUUGUAAACUUCUUUUACCAGGGACGAAGAAAGUGACGGUACCUGGAGAAAAAGCAACGGCUAACUACGUGCCAGCCGCCGCCGUAAGAC
rnacentral:rRNA from 1 species